UGCCAAUUUAGCUCAGUUGGUAGAGCAUCUCCCUCGUAAAGAGAAGGUCGUUGGUUCGAUUCCAACAAUUGGCAU
rnacentral:tRNA from 1 species